rnacentral:rRNA from 1 species
AGUCGAGCGGACCGACGGGAGCUUGCUCCCUUAGGUCAGCGGCGGACGGGUGAGUAACACGUGGGUAACCUGCCUGUAAGACUGGGAUAACUCCGGGAAACCGGGGCUAAUACCGGAUGCUUGAUUGAACCGCAUGGUUCAAUCAUAAAAGGUGGCUUUUAGCUACCACUUGCAGAUGGACCCGCGGCGCAUUAGCUAGUUGGUGAGGUAACGGCUCACCAAGGCGACGAUGCGUAGCCGACCUGAGAGGGUGAUCGGCCACACUGGGACUGAGACACGGCCCAGACUCCUACGGGAGGCAGCAGUAGGGAAUCUUCCGCAAUGGACGAAAGUCUGACGGAGCAACGCCGCGUGAGUGAUGAAGGUUUUCGGAUCGUAAAACUCUGUUGUUAGGGAAGAACAAGUACCGUUCGAAUAGGGCGGUACCUUGACGGUACCUAACCAGAAAGCCACGGCUAACUACGUGCCAGCAGCCGCGGUAAUACGUAGGUGGCAAGCGUUGUCCGGAAUUAUUGGGCGUAAAGCGCGCGCAGGCGGUUUCUUAAGUCUGAUGUGAAAGCCCCCGGCUCAACCGGGGAGGGUCAUUGGAAACUGGGGAACUUGAGUGCAGAAGAGGAGAGUGGAUUCCACGUGUAGCGGUGAAAUGCGUAGAGAUGUGGAGGAACACCAGUGGCGAAGGCGACUCUCUGGUC